AUCUUUCUAGUACUUAAGGAGUAUACGUGGCUUCCAACCACAAGGUCUUGGUUAAAUUCCAAGGAAAGAUA
rnacentral:tRNA from 2 species